UGGCAUGGGAUGUUUCAUUUAUCAUACCCAAGCAGCAUGAAAAAGCAACAAUCGUAACACCCUGCUACACCAUGGUUGUUCAGUCUUGGACACACACUCUCUCCCUGUGUAUUUCCUGUGGAAAGAUCUAACUUGUAGCUUCUAGGACUGAAGACCAGCUGAGCAGCUCCAGGGUAAAGCUCUGGCCUGGCAGUGUCUUUUUGGUGUGAGGCUACUGCAGCCUACCUGUAGCAAGGAAUUCCAAGAGCUGAGCUUACAUGGAGACAAAGAGCACCAAAGACAUGAUUUCCCAUCUCUGGAAAGCUGGCAGCAGAUUGCAGACAUAGGAUGAAUUAAAAGUGAAGAUAAGAGAACCACAGCUGUGGAACUCAGAUAUGACACAGGGUCCGGUUCUCCAGGUGAGUCGCCCUGGGAUGUAGGUGAAGACAAACAGGAUGUGAAAAAUCCAGAGGCAUGGGAAAGAAGCAGCAAAGAAGUGGGAGUUGAAACGUUAG